rnacentral:rRNA from 1 species
CGACGGUAUGGUAUUGGCUUACCGUGGCAGUGACGGUUAACGGGGGAUUAGGGUUCGAUUCCGGAGAGGGAGCCUGAGAAACGGCUACCACAUCUAAGGAAGGCAGCAGGCGCGCAAAUUACCCAAUUCUAACAGUUUGAGAGAGGUAGUAACAAGAAAUAACAAUACAAGGCAGUUAAAAUGCUUUGUAAUUGGAAUGAUAGAAAUUUAAACCCUUUUUAAAGUAUCAAUUGGAGGGCAAGUCUGGUGCCAGCAGCCGCGGUAAUUCCAGCUCCAAUAGCGUAUAUUAAAAUUGUUGCAGUUAAAAAGCUCGUAGUUGAAGUUCUGCUGAAAGUAACCGGUCUGCUUUUAAUAAAAGUGGUAUCUUGGUAUGUAUUUAGCAAUGAUGUCCUUUGAAGUGUUUUUUACUUUAUUGUAAUAAAGCAUAUUCAGGACUUUUACUUUGAGAAAAUUAGAGUGUUUCUAGCAGGCURACGCUUUGAAUACUGCAGCAUGGAAUAAUAAGAUAGGAUUUUAGUUCUACAUUAUUGGUUUUAAGAGCUAAAUUAAUGAUUGAUAGGGACAGUUGGGGGCAUUUGUAUUUAACUGUCAGAGGUGAAAUUCUUAGAUUUGUUAAAGACAAACUACUGCGAAAGCAUUUGCCAAAGAUGUUUUCAUUAAUCAAGAACGAAAGUUAGGGGAUCGAAGACGAUCAGAUAC